rnacentral:tRNA from 1 species
GCUGGCUCAGUUGGUAGAGCAUGUGACUCUUGAUCUCAGGGUCAUGAGUUCGAGCCUCACAAUGGGCA